AUGCUGCUGCUGCCGCCGCUGCCGAAGCUGAUGCUGCUGCUGAAGCUGCUGCCGCUGCCGCUCCCGCUGCCGCUGCUCCCGCUGCUCCCGCCGCCGCCCGCCGCCUGCAUGCGCUCCAGCCGCGCCGGCAUCCUCGGGGCGCCCUCCCGCCGGGGGUCCCGCGGCGGCGGCUCGGCGCACCUGUUCUUAGCCGGCCCGCAGCCAACCCUCGGCCGGCGCUCCCCGGGAGAGACCAAUCCGAGCGCAGCGCGGAGGGCGAGCGGCCGGGCUCGCCUCCUCUGCCGCCGCCGCCGCCGCCGGGGACCCCAAGUCCGCGAGCCCGGGAGCCGGAGAUUUCCUGGUCUACGGUGGAAGCUGGAAAGAUGUUUUUAUUUACAAGGCUCUGAGAAUGAGAAGCUGAGGAUGCCCGCCUCCUGGGACACCUCCCCAGCACCGCAAGACUGGCGCCCAUGCAGGAGCCAGCGUCCCCUUGUACCCUCAGAGCCUCCACGGGGACGAAGUUUUCAAGACUACAGCAAGAUUUCAUCUGGCAAUUCACAUGCUUCUCACCACUCCCCGAUCAGGUUCAGCGUAAGGUAAGCUGCAAGUAGAGAAGACAUGCGAUGCAGAAAGCCCACUCCCUGAAAUGCUUCCUUACCAUGGAAAAAAAACACCUGUGUCUCAAACUUCAUUAUCUGUCAGAAACCUAAUAAUAGCUAAUACACCUACAUCCGAGAAAAGUUGCUGUGAGUUCAUGUUUAUAUAAAUAACCCUUUGGCUUCAUCUUACCCAUGUUUUCUAAAAAUCUACAUACAUUCUGCUUCCUU